rnacentral:rRNA from 1 species
UGAUACUGCUAGUCUUGAGUGCAGUUGAGGUAGGCGGAAUGUGUAAUGUAACGGUGAAAUGCUUAGAUAUUACACAGAACACCGAUUGCGUAGGCAGCUUACUAAACUGUAACUGACGCUGAGGCACGAAAGCGUGGGGAGCGAACAGGAUUAGAUACCCUGGUAGUCCACGCUGUAAACUAUGAUCACUCGCUGUUGGCGAUACAUUGUCAGCGGCUGAGCGAAAGCAUUAAGUGAUCCACCUGGGGAGUACGGCCGCAAAGUUGAAACUCAAAGGAAUUGACGGGGGCCCGCACAAGCGGUGGAACAUGUGGUUUAAUUCGAUGAUACGCGAGGAACCUUACCUGGGCUUAAAUGCAGAACGACGUACCGGGAAACUGGUACUCCCUUCGGGGCGGACUGCAAGGUGCUGCAUGGUUGUCGACAGCUCGUGCCGUGAGGUGUCGGGUUAAGUCCCAUAACGAGCGCAACCCUCAUUGUUAGUUGCCAGCGAGUAAUGUCGGGGACUCUAACGAAACUGCCGGUGUAAACCGUGAGGAAGGUGGGGAUGACGUCAAAUCAGCACGGCCCUUAUGUCCAGGGCUACACACGUGUUACAAUGGCCAGUACAAAGGGCAGCUACCACGCGAGUGGAUGCUAAUCUCUAAAGCUGGUCUCAGUUCGGAUUGAAGUCUGCAACUCGACUUCAUGAAGCUGGAAUCGCUAGUAAUCGCGCAUCAGCCAUGGCGCGGUGAAUACGUUCCCGGGCCUUGUACACACCGCCCGUCAAGCCAUGGAAGCUUGGGGUACCUGAAGUCCGUAACCGAAAGGAUCGGCACUAGGGUAAAACAAGUG